AUUGAACGCUGGCGGCAUGCCUUACACAUGCAAGUCGAACGGCAGCACGGGGCAACCUGGUGGCGAGUGGCGAACGGGUGAGUAAUGCAUCGGAACGUGCCAUUGAGUGGGGGAUAACGUAGCGAAAGUUGCGCUAAUACCGCAUAUUCUGUGAGCAGGAAAGCAGGGGACCGCAAGGCCUUGCGCUCUUUGAGCGGCCGAUGUCAGAUUAGCUAGUUGGUGAGGUAACGGCUUACCAAGGCGACGAUCUGUAGCGGGUCUGAGAGGAUGAUCCGCCACACUGGAACUGAGACACGGUCCAGACUCCUACGGGAGGCAGCAGUGGGGAAUUUUGGACAAUGGGCGCAAGCCUGAUCCAGCCAUUCCGCGUGCAGGAUGAAGCCUGGUUGUAACUAGCUUUGUACGGUAACGAAACGGACGAGCUCUAAUAC
rnacentral:rRNA from 1 species